GACGAACGCUGGCGGCGUGCUUAACACAUGCAAGUCGAACGGUAAGGCCCUUCGGGGUACACGAGUGGCGAACGGGUGAGUAACACGUGGGUGAUCUGCCCUGCACUUCGGGAUAAGCCUGGGAAACUGGGUCUAAUACCGGAUAGGACCACUGCCUGCAUGGGUGGUGGUGGAAAGCUUUUGCGGUGUGGGAUGGGCCCGCGGCCUAUCAGCUUGUUGGUGGGGUGAUGGCCUACCAAGGCGACGACGGGUAGCCGGCCUGGGAGGGUGACCGGGCAUGCUGGGGCUGAGAUACGGGCCAGACUCCGACGGGAGGCAGCAGUGGGUAAGAUUGCACAAUCGGCGGAAGCCUGAUACAGCGACGCCGCGUGAGGGAUGGCGGCCUUCGGGUUGUAAACCUCUUUCAGCACCGACGGAGCGCAAGUGACGGUAGGUGCAGAAGAAGGACCGGCCAACUACGUGCCAGCCGCCGCCGUAA
rnacentral:rRNA from 1 species